rnacentral:rRNA from 1 species
GACGAACGCUGGCGGCGUGCUUAACACAUGCAAGUCGAGCGGUAAGGCCCUUUCGGGGGUACACGAGCGGCGAACGGGUGAGUAACACGUGGGUGACCUGCCCUCAGCUCUGGGAUAAGCCUGGGAAACUGGGUCUAAUACCGGAUAUGACUCCAUGACGCAUGUUGUGGGGUGGAAAGCCUUGUGCGGCUGAGGAUGGGCCCGCGGCCUAUCAGCUUGUUGGUGGGGUGANGGCCUACCAAGGCGACGACGGGUAGCCGGCCUGAGAGGCGACCGGCCACACUGGGACUGAGACACGGCCCAGACUCCUACGGGAGGCAGCAGUGGGGAAUCUUGCGCAAUGGGCGAAAGCCUGACGCAGCGACGCCGCGUGAGGGAUGACGGCCU